UGGGGAAUAUUGCACAAUGGAGGGAACUCUGAUGCAGCGACGCCGCGUGAGUGAUGAAGGAAUUCGUUUCGUAAAACUCUGUUCUAUGGGAAGAAAAGGACUGUACCAUAGGAGAAAGCUCCGGCUAAAUACGUGCCAGCAGCCGCGGUAAUACGUAUGGAGCGAGCGUUGUCCGGAAUUAUUGGGCGUAAAGGGUGCGCAGGCGGCUUUACAAGUUGGAUGUGAAAUAUUGUGGCUCAACCACAAACGUGCAUCCAAAACUGCAAAGCUUGAGUUAAGGAGAGGUAAGUGGAAUUCCUGGUGUAGCGGUGGAAUGCGUAGAUAUCAGGAGGGAUACCGGUGGCGAAGGCGACUUACUGGACUUAAACUGACGCUCAGGCACGAAAGCGUGGGGAGCAAACAGG
rnacentral:rRNA from 1 species